AUUGAACGCUGGCGGAAUGCUUUACACAUGCAAGUCGAACGGCAGCACGGACUUCGGUCUGGUGGCGAGUGGCGAACGGGUGAGUAAUGUAUCGGAACGUGCCCAGUCGUGGGGGAUAACGUAGGGAAAAUUACGCUAAUAACGCAUACGAACCAUGUAUGAAAGCGGGGGAUCCCACGACCACGCGCACUUGGAGGGGGCGAUAUCAGAUUAGUUAGUUGGUGGGGUAAAGGCCCACCAAGCCAACGAUCUGUAGCUGGUCUGAGAGGACGACCAGCCACACUGGAGCUGAGACACGGUCCAGACUCCUACGGGAGGCAGCAGUGGGGAAUUUUGGACAAUGGGCGAAAGCCUGAUCCAGCCAUUCCGCGUGCAGGAUGAAGGCCCUCGGGUUGUAAACUGCUUUCGUACAGAACGAAAAGGUUUCUACUAAUACUAGGAGCUCAUGACGGUACUGUAAGAAUAAGCACCGGCUAACUACGUGCCAGCCGCCGCUGUAA
rnacentral:rRNA from 1 species